UAUUCUUUCAUUCUUCUUUCAUUCUCUUUCUUUCUUCUCGGUCUUUCUUCCUUCUUCUGCUCCUCCUCUAUUUUCUUCUCCGUCGAUUUCCGAGAGAUGGAAUUGAGUUUUAGUUGAGAGAAUUAGUUGGUGAAGCUGUGUAGAUGUAUGAGGUGUAGUUGUUGUGAAUUAUGAAGAAGAAAACAUAAAUCAGAGUUGGGGUUUCUGCUGAUAGAAGUUAGAAUUCGAGUUAUGUUAUGAUUAAGAAGAAUUGGAGGAUGGGUUUCAAAGAUUAUGAGUUUAAGAAUAGGUUAGUGAUGUUGAUUUGAAGAUACAAUUAUAAAGAAGUUGAGAAGAUCGAAGUUAGGGUUUCAUAAAGAUAAACCAGAGAAGAUUCAAAGAUGAAAUUGAUAUUCUUGGAAGAUGAUUAGACUUGGGUGUUUAGCAGUUAAGUGAUUAAAGUGGGGUAAUAUGUGGAAUUGAGUUUCAAUUGAUGAAUUUGUAUUGGUGAUGAAAUUUAAGAUCGGGAACAAUUAUUUUAGGGUUCUGAUAAUCAGUGACGAUGAAGAAGGACUAAACCAGGAACAAUUGAUGGAGAUGGUGUAGGUUCAGUGGAUUAUGCAAACUCAAAAGAAGAAGAAAAGGUAAAUUGGUGUACGGCUCUUGGUAUGAAUUAGAGAAGUCUUAAGUUGGGAAUUAAGAUAGGGUUCACUGAGUAAUGAUGCAGGUAAUGAGGAUUGUCGAGAUAAGUCUUCUAAUUAGGUGAUAAAGAAGAACUGAUCUCAGUGCUUGAACAAGCUAAACCAAAGGUAAUUGCUUUCUUAGUUAACUUCCUGGAAUUAUUCAUUUUUGGUUCAUGUGUGGAUUUAUGAAGUUAUGAUAUGAAGUUGAUAUGAUAUAAAGCAGAAUUUGGGUUUUACAAUUGGUAUAAAUGUCAGUUACAGGAAACUGUGUUGGUUUGUAAUGGACUGAACAAGGGAAUGGUAUUAGUGAGAUGAUUGGUUGAGUGUUGCUGUUAAAUGUCAGGUGGUGUUGUAGUACUUGGCUGAGAAUAGAAUGGAUUGAAUUCUAAUCUAGAAGUUUAGACAGAACUCUAAGACUUUAUGCAAUGGUGGUGGUCUGCUUGUGUAAUUGUGAUGAACUGGUGUUGGUGUUGCAGGUGGUGAAUGAGAUGAACUGAUAUUGAUAUAGUGGAAGAAUUAGCGCUGGCAGUGAUGUUGAAUUGGAGUUGCAAGUGUACUUCAGUAGUAGAAUGGUUUUACAGCUAAGGGUGUUGUGUAUGGUGGUGGAUGAAUGUGGUUGUUGGUGUUUCUUAGAGUUGGAGUUGUAGUUAGUAAUUGCUGUAGAAAGGAUGCGCAGCUAAUGCAAUUGCAGUUAGUCUAUUAACAACGACCGAUUCAAAGGAUGAACCAGUGGAUCGUGGAUCUCGAGGUAGGCGGGGCUUGUCAUCAAAAGAGGUGGGAAUACAUUUUGACUUUAUGGUAAUCAUUGUCGUUUCUUUUACAAAAGUUGAUGUUUUACAAACUCAUGCUUUGUCUAGUCGUGCAUUCCAUGCUUUGUUUAAAUUACAUUACGAUAAUUGUGUUGAUUCUGCUAAUCUUUCCAUAGAUUGGAAAUGACUGGUAAUGUUUUGUUGUCGUCGUGAAUUGUUAUGGGAAAUAAGAAUUUCCACCUGUGGUAUAUAGGAUACACUCCUUCACAUUUAUACCUAGAGCUUUUAUAUGAUAUAUUGGUCGGCAGUUUGCGCGAGUUCGGAAUUGUCGAUAUCCAUAUGUACGAUUAGGUGUGGAUCAACGAGUUCGGGAUUGCACAACCAUACUAGUACAUUGUUUGACGAAUGAGUUUGUCCAUAUACAUGUUUGUAUUUGAGUGACUUGGUCACUAUUUAAUGUUGUUUUUCAAAUCUUGCCUAUGAUUACUUAGAAGUUAAAUGUUAAUUAUGCCCACUUUCAGUUUCAGAGACAGAUCCGAGUUGCGCAGCGAAAGCUUUAAGUGUUGAUUUUAUUGGUUGGUUAACUACUGCUAUGUUUGUUAUGUUAUAAAUUAUAUUUGUAACCAUAUGACUAUUAUUUAUGUAUCAUUUGAGAGAAGCGUUUGUAUAUAUAUAUAUUUCAGAGCGGAGCUAGUUUUGGGUUGA